GUUUAUAUAGUUUAAUUAAAAUUUUGAUUUGUGAGUUCAAAGAUACUUUAUUGUUAUGAACA
rnacentral:tRNA from 1 species